rnacentral:rRNA from 1 species
AGUGAACGCUGGCGGUAGGCCUAACACAUGCAAGUCGAACGGCAGCACAGUAAGAGCUUGCUCUUACGGGUGGCGAGUGGCGGACGGGUGAGGAAUACAUCGGAAUCUACUUUUUCGUGGGGGAUAACGUAGGGAAACUUACGCUAAUACCGCAUACGACCUACGGGUGAAAGCAGGGGAUCUUCGGACCUUGCGCGAUUGAAUGAGCCGAUGUCGGAUUAGCUAGUUGGCGGGGUAAAGGCCCACCAAGGCGACGAUCCGUAGCUGGUCGGAGAGGAUGAGCGCCCACAGUGGAACUGAGACAGGUGACAGCGCCCUAGGGGAGGCGCGAGGGGGGAAUGGUGGAGAAUGGGCGCAAGCCUGACCCAGCCAUCGCGGGGGAGGGAAGAAGGCGUUUGGGUAUAAAACUCUUUUUGUGGGAAAAAAAAAGAACCGGUUUAAAACCCUGCUUUUGUGACGGUACCCAAAAAAAAAGCCCCGGCUAACCUCGUG